GCACAAGCGGUGGAUCAUGUUGUUUAAUUCGAUGAUACGCGAAGAACCUUACCAGGUCUUGACAUCCCCCGCGAUGCUUUAGAGAUAAAGCGGAGGUAUUCGGGGAGACAGGUGGUGCAUGGUUGUCGUCAGCUCGUGUCGUGAGAUGUUGGGUUAAGUCCCGCAACGAGCGCAACCCCUAUUGCUAGUUACCAUCAUUAAGUUGGGGACUCUAGCGAGACUGCCAGUGAUAAACUGGAGGAAGGUGGGGAUGACGUCAAAUCAUCAUGCCCCUUAUGACCUGGGCUACAAACGUGAUACAAUGGCUGGAACAAAGGGAUGCGAAGCAGUGAUGUGGAGCGAAACCCAUAAAAACAGUCUCAGUUCGGAUUGAAGUCUGCAACUCGACUUCAUGAAGUCGGAAUCGCUAGUAAUCGCGGAUCAGAACGCCGCGGUGAAUACGUUCUCGGGGUUU
rnacentral:rRNA from 1 species